rnacentral:lncRNA from 1 species
CCAUCGUAACUUUAUCCUUUAUAAAAGGUGUCUUGUUAAGUUGAGGAGUGGGUGUUGUAUAUGAUAUUCCAAUACAAUUCAUUUGAGAUUUUGGCACUUCUAUAUUACGCAAGCCCCUAUCAAUAUUAUUGCAAUUGCAACAGAUGGAUACAUCGAAGCAUCUAAAAAAUGGAUAGAUAGGAGACGUUGAGCCAUCAAAAGUCACUUGGAAGCGAGGAAAUGUCGUUAAAAAAUUGGUUAAGUUCUUGAGUUACAAAAUCAAACAUGAAAUACAAAGAGGGUGCUGAUUUUAGAACUCCAGGCCAUGUAUUGGUUAAGUUCUUGAGUUACAAAAUCAAACAUGAAAUACAAAGAGGGUGCUGAUUUUAGAACUCCAGGCCAUGUUCGCGAGCCGCAUCAGCGAUAGCUUUAACACGGCCAUGGUACGGGUAACCACCACGGUCAAAGGCUACUUUUGUGAUUCCCUUCUCCAGACAGGAUUUUGCAAUGAUCUCACCCACCCUCUUUGCUACUUC